UGGAAGUAACCCCGCCAUUCAGACUUCCCCAUUCCUACAGACAAAUGGAGGGGGAAAUAAGUCAGGACUUGUAACCCCACAAUAAAAAUUCACAUUAUCUCAGGUAGGCACUCACUGGGAGGUCUGGAGAGUGGAACUUUAAUUCAGUGAAACCAUUUGUUCUUGAUUUUAGGUUUCAUGAUGGAAAUGGCUUCCUGGGAUGGGGGGAUUUCCAGAACAGUGCAAUUUCUGGUACCACAGAGUAUUUCAGAAGAAAUGUUUUACCAACUCAGUAACAUGCUCCCCCAGAUCUUCCGAGUCUCUUCAACACUCACACUGACUUCCAAGCACUGAACCUUUGCAGAAAAAGGAUCCUUCGACACCCCAGGAAUGAGAGCUAUGCCAGGCUAAAGAUGCCCAGAAUGAAAACUUGCAACCCAAGUUAUAAGUCAACCCAGGAUACGUGUCUGUUCGAACAUUCCAGAAAUGCCCAUGCUGGACAACCAGGGAUCUAGUCCUGACUGUGCAUUUAUUCUAAAGUUUCUUUAUGGAAAAAGUUCUCUGUUUUCCACCACUGCCACACCCUGUCUGUGAGCGUGAGUGAAAACCUUCUCUGGGUCACACUGUCCUUCCUCUGGACAGGAUGUAGAAGCUUGUCCCACUAACAUUUCCACAGAGACAUUUGACUUUUCUAGAACGUUCAAAUCUUAACAGGUGCAAGGCUUACCAAAGCAGAUAAAUAUAAUCUCUUGACUUUAUUUGUAAAGCAAAGUUUAAAAAGCCCCCAAUUAUACCUCACCGCUGAAAUCUUUGUGAAAUCCUUUUUUUGUAGAAAUACAGGCAUAGGAUACAAAGCUUGCAUAUUCUUUUCAAUUCUCUUGUUUCCAAACCUUGCUUUGGAUGUUGCUUUCUCUAGCUGUAUAACUGAGAGUCAGAAAAAGAUUGAAUUAUUAACCCCCAUCUUUAUCUUCCCACAGGAUCUUGUACUUGCCUAUUAAUAUUGCUUCAUGAUCUAGUGAAGUUGGGUGCUGCUUGCAGCCAGAUGGGAUAUAUAAACCCACACUGGUAGUGUUGUUGUUCUCAACAGCAUUGGGGAAAUGAGAGAAUGGUGAUCAGGGCCAGAGCAAUACCACAGCGGUAGAGUGUUUGCUUUGCAAGUGACUGACCCAUGAUGGACCUAGGUUCAAUCCCUGGCAUUCCACAUGGUCCCCGAAGCCUACCAGGAUCGAUCUAUGAGAACAUAGCCAGGAGUAACCCCUGAGUGCCACUGUAUUUGGUCCAAAGCCCCCAAAUAAAUAAACUCUUACUUUAAAA